rnacentral:rRNA from 1 species
UACGAAGGGGGCUAGCGUUGCUCGGAAUCACUGGGCGUAAAGGGUGCGUAGGCGGAUCUUUAAGUCAGGGGUGAAAUCCUGGAGCUCAACUCCAGAACUGCCUUUGAUACUGAGGAUCUCGAGUUCGGGAGAGGUGAGUGGAACUGCGAGUGUAGAGGUGAAAUUCGUAGAUAUUCGCAAGAACACCAGUGGCGAAGGCGGCUCACUGGCCCGAUACUGACGCUGAGGCACGAAAGCGUGGGAGCAACAGG